AAGCUGGUUGAAUGCGUCUAUGAAGCUCAGGAUGAAGAACUGACUCGAUGCUUCCUGCAGAAAGUGGGCGGGGAUCUGACUUCCUGUUCCUUGAGCUGGGAAGAGUUUCAUUAUUUCCUGCAGCACAGAAUUCAACAAAUCACUCUGAACCUCAGAAAGAGUAACAUUCAGGUCAACAUCAGAGAAAUGCUGCCAUUCCUGAACCAGAUUAAAUUUAAACGGUUGAGCUCUGCCUUCAUGCUGCGUGUAAUCAGAGAGAUCUAUGAGUCCGGCUCUGCUAGGUUUGUGUCCAGUCUGUUGAGUUCAGUGAAGAACUACAUUAACCUGCAGAGCAGAGAUCUGGACUCCGUUCACUCUGCGGCCCUGCGCUUCACACUGCAGCUUCACUCAACCUGCUCUGGACCUCCAUACCAGAGGAAGAGCUGCAGAGCAUUCUGCCUCUCUUCACACACCUCUCCCACCUCAGUGUUGACAAGCUGCUGUUGCUGAAGAUGCUUCACUGCUGCAGUGUCUCUGAUGUCCAGCAGGAGGCAGCAGCUGUUCUGCUCUCAAUCCUGCAGCACAAGCUGGACUUCUCCUGCCGCUCUGCUCUGGAUCUGGCAACAAACACAGACUCAGAGCCUCUACAUCUGACCACUGACGACUGCCGUGUGAUGUCCAGAGUCAUUCAGAGAGCUCAAUCAGACACAAAGACACGGCUGAU
rnacentral:lncRNA from 1 species